AUGAAAAGCUUUGAUUUAUUGCUGGGAGACGAAGCUUUGGUUUACUCUGGACUCGUUUGCGUUUAUGAUGCGUCGCUUUGCAUGUGCAUCCAAAGAAACGGGUCAAACCAAUUCAACCAACCCGAUUUAUUGUUCUCCAUCCGAUCUCUUUCGAUCCGCUUCAAGUAAGGCAUCUUCAAAAGAGAUGGAACGGAUUGACAACCUAUUUUAUUUUUAUGCCAGUAGGUCUUCUGGUAUGAUUGACCCAGAAGGAAUCGAAACUCUAUGUUCCAACAUGGAAGUUGAUCACACAGAUGUUAGGAUCUUGAUGCUUGCUUGGAAAAUGAAAGCUGAAAAACAAGGAUACUUUACCCUGGAGGAAUGGAGAAGAGGACUAAAAGCACUGAGGGCUGAUACUGUAAGUAAGUUAAGGAAGGCCCUACCAGAGCUAGAAAAAGAGGUCAGGAGACCAUCAAACUUUGAGGAUUUCUAUUCCUAUUCAUUCUGCUAUUGCCUGACAGAGGAGAAACAAAAGAGUAUUGAUAUAGAAAGCAUAUGUCAAUUGCUGGAUCUUGUUUUAGGAUCCCAAUUCCGUGCACAGGUUGACUAUUUUAUUGAGUAUUUGAAGAUUCAGAGCGAUUAUAAGGUCAUAAACUUGGAUCAAUGGAUGGGCUUUUUUCGAUUCUGCAAUGAGAUAACUUUCCCGAACCUUGGUAAUUAUAAUCCGGACCUCGCUUGGCCGUUGAUCCUGGACAACUUCGUAGAAUGGAUGCAGGUGAAGCAGAGCUAAAAUCUAUUAGCUUUGGUCCACUUGAUUCUCAGCUAUAAACUUCAUUCGGUAUAAAUACAGGAAUGUUCAAGUUGUAGCACAAUGUUUAUCCAGCUUAUCUUCAAAACGUGAAGGUCUUCCUCAAAACAUACCUUCCAAAGUUAGUUUCUCGGUGUUACAUAUAUGCAGAGGAUAAUCUCAAUGUAUCGAAUUGUAUUUGUCUUGAUAUUUAAAAAUAUUGUAUUAUGAUGUUAUAUUAUGAACAAAAUUGAUUCAUCAGAUACAGCAUAAAUGAAAUUGGUAAUAUUUCUUUCA